rnacentral:rRNA from 1 species
UGCUUCUUGAAUCCCUUAUAAGAAGUAAUUUCUGCCCAGUGAAUACUUAAACGGCCGCGGUACCCUGACCGUGCAAAGGUAGCAUAAUAGCUUGCCUUCUAAUUAAAGGCUUGUAUGAACGAACUAACGUGAGCUUAUCUGUCUCCUUUAUGCCUAAAUAACUUAACCUUUACGUGAAAAGGCGUAAAUAAAAUUAAUAGACAAGAAGACCCUGUCGAGCUUAAUUGUACUUUCUACCUAAGGAAUUUUUCACCCUUAUUAAACAACACUCAAUUUAGUUGGGGCAACAGAGGAACAUUCAAACCUUCCUCUCCAAACGAUAUACUCAUCUAAACUCUCCAAUUUAUUUGAAUUUAAAAUUAAAGCUACCGCAGGGAUAACAGGUUAAUUUUUCUCAAGAGUACACAUUAACAGAAAAGUUUUACACCUCGAUGUUGGCUUAGGCUAUCCUAUUAGUGCAGCAGCUAAUAAAGGCAGGUUUGUUCAACCUAAAAAGCCU